rnacentral:rRNA from 1 species
CACGUAGGGCGCAAGCGUUGUCCGGAAUUAUUGGGCGUAAAGAGCUCGUAGGCGGCUUGUUGCGUCGGCUGUGAAAACCCGCGGCCUAACUGCGGGCUUGCAGCCGAUACGGGCAGACUGGAGUACUGCAGGGGAGACUGGAAUUCCUGGUGUAGCGGUGGAAUGCGCAGAUAUCAGGAGGAACACCGGUGGCGAAGGCGGGUCUCUGGGCAGUAACUGACGCUGAGGAGCGAAAGCGUGGGGAGCGAACAGG